GUCUACAGUCAUGCCAUCCUGAACAAGCCCGAUGUCUGAUCUCACAAGCUGAGAAGGGUCAGGCCUGGUUAGUACUUGGAUGGGAGACCACAUAGGAAGACCAGGUCCUGUAGGCA
rnacentral:rRNA from 1 species